rnacentral:rRNA from 1 species
UACGUAGGGGGCAAGCGUUGUCCGGAAUCAUUGGGCGUAAAGAGCGUGUAGGCGGCCAGAAAAGUCCGCUGUGAAAACUCGAGGCUCAACUUCGAGCUGUCGGUGGAAACUUUCUGGCUAGAGUCCGGAAGAGGAGAAUGGAAUUCCUGGUGUAGCGGUGAAAUGCGCAGAUAUCAGGAGGAACACCGGUGGCGAAGGCGGGUCUCUGGGCCGAUACUGACGCUGAGGAGCGAAAGCGUGGGGAGCAAACAGG